rnacentral:rRNA from 1 species
CAUUAAGUUGGGGACGUCUGGCGAGACUGCCGUGGAUAACACGGAGGAAGGUGGGGACGACGUCAAAUCAUCAUGCCCCUUAUGUCCUGGGCUACACACGUACUACAAUGGCAACAACAAUGAGCAGCAAAACCGCGAGGUCAAGCGAAUCUACAAAUGUUGUCCCAGUUCGGAUUGCAGGCUGCAACUCGCCUGCAUGAAGUCGGAAUUGCUAGUAAUGGCAGGUCAGCAUACUGCCGUGAAUACGUUCCCGGGCCUU